AUACGGAGGGUGCAAGCGUUACUCGGAAUCACUGGGCGUAAAGCGCGCGCAGGCGGUCUUUUAAGUUGGAUGUGAAAGCCUACGGCUCAACCGUAGAACUGCAUCCAAAACUAUUUGGCUAGAGUGUGGGAGAGGAAGAUGGAAUUAGUUGUGUAGGGGUAAAAUCCGUAGAGAUAACUAGGAAUACCAAAAGCGAAGGCAAUCUUCUGGAACAUUACUGACGCUGAGGCGCGAAAGCGUGGGGAGCAAACAGGAUUAGAAACCCCAGUAGUCC
rnacentral:rRNA from 1 species